AUGCCCUUUAUUUAUAUCAAUAUUAUAUUAACAUACACCAUAGCAUUGCUGGGAAUAUUAGUCUAUCAAUCCCACUUAACAUCAUCCCUAUUAUGCCUAGAAGGUAUAGUAUUAUCAAUACUCAUUAUAAUUAUUCUUAUAACUUUAAAUAUACAUUUCACUCUAGCAUCCCUAAUCCCAUUAGCCUCCUAUUAUUUGUGGCCUGCGAAGCCGCAGUAUGCCUUGCCUUACUAGUUUCAAUCUCCAACACAUACAGCCUAGAUUAUGUACAAAAUCUAAAUUUACUUCAAUGCUAAAAGUUAUUAUUCCAACAAUUAUACUGUUACCACCAACAUGACUCUGUAAUAACUCCAUAAUCUGAAUUAACAUAACUAUCCACAACCUAUUCAUCAGCCUCAUUACUAUAUCUUACCCAAUUAAAUGAUAAUUCAUCUAACUUCUCACUAACUUUCUCCUCUGACCCACUAACAUCACCCCUUCUAAUCUUAACAACCUAUUACCUCUUGUAAUUCUAGCAAGCCAACAUCACCUUUCCAAUGAGUCACCCCCACAGAAAAAACUCUGUAAUAGUUCUCUUCCCCUACUUAUCACACUUACCCAUACUCAAAAUACCUUGGGUUCACUAAACAUAAUAAUAAUAAUAAUAUUUACCACCCAAGAACUAUUAACUUCCUGAUCUAAUAAUCUUAUAUGACUAGCAUGUAUUAUGACUCUCAUAGCAAAAAUACCUCUAUAUGGACUUCACCUAUGACUCCCCAAAGCCCACGUGGAAGCCCCUAUUGCUGGCUCAAUAGUACUUGCAGAGGUACUCCUAAAGCUAGGUGGCUAUGGUAUUAUACGGCUUACCCUUACCCUCAACCCCCUAACAGAAUAUAUAGCCUACCCCUUCCUCAUAUCCUUAUGGGAAAUAGUUAUGACAAGCUCUAUUUGUCUAUGACAAACGGACUUAAAAUCACUAUUGCAUAUUCCUCCAUAAGCCAUAUAGCACUUGUUAUUAUGGCUAUUCUCAUUUGAACCCCUUGAAGCUUUACAGGUGCAGUCACCCUUAUAAUUGCCCAUGGAGUCACUUCAUCUUUACUAUUCUGCAUAGCAAAUUCAAACUACGAGCGAGUCCAUAGCCGAAUUAUAUUACUUAUCUGAGGCCUUCAAACACUGCUUCCACUAAUAGCCUCUUGAUGACUUUUAGCAAGUCUUACUAACCUUGCCUUUCCCCCUACUAUUAAUUUAAUAGAACUCUUCAUCACUAUGGCUUUAUUCUCUUGAUCAAACAUCACCAUUAUGCUUAUAAGACUUAAUAUACUAAUUACAGAUCUUUACUCCCUACAUAUACUAAUCACAACACAAUGAGGGACACUUGUGUAUUACAUUAACAGUAUUAAAUGCUCAUUUACACAAGAAAAUACAUUAAUACUUAUAUACCUUGCACCUAUCUUUCUAUUAUCCUUAAACCCUAAGAUUAUUAUGGGGUUUGCAUACUGUAA
rnacentral:lncRNA from 1 species